ACCUCUAUUCAUGUUGAGCUGGAACAGCCAAGUCCCAGUUGGAUUUCUGAGAUUACUUCAUUCCCUGUUUUUUACUACAGUCAUUAGAUCAGAAGUUUCCAAGAUUAGCUAGACUUACCUUGUUCAGCCUGAAACCUAUGUUAACUUGAGACCUGACAUUCAUUCAGAAGCAAGACAUGUCAGUACAUGUAUCUGGGAAGAGGCUUUGUUUACCUUUGCACACUGGAAAGACAUCUGACAUGCACGGACAGCACUAGGAUGCAAGAAAAAGCAUUUGUAACUGAUUCAUUUUAAAAUCACCUGUCAUGAUCAUAUACAAUUAAAGUAUUGACAGCAAAAUGUCUUGUGAGUAGUUUUGACGAGGGUAAUUCUGGAGGUCACAGCUCUUCUGCAUGGGACACCUGUAAGCAAAUAAUAUUCCUUUUGCUUUCUCAGAUUGCACUUCAAGACUUCUGAUGUUACUGCUAACCUAGGGAAAAAAGAAAGAAAGAUGCACAUAUAAAGAACCAAAAUGAAUCUGGAGCGUCCCAACUUUAACCAUCAGCAGCAGAAUAAGGAGAUUUCACUAUGCAGACAAAUCUUUCUUCGUACUUUUUUUCAGUGGAUCAGAUCUUUAAUAGAGACCUCUGUUAGAGCACUAGAAAACCUAAGACAAAGAAUUGACCAUGCUUGACAAAGAAUUACAAAGAAGAGCCGCCAGCUCAUGAGGAGAGAAAAACAACAUCUGAUGUGUUUAUACUUUUUAGUGAAAUGAUGAGAUGCCCCAGGCUGAAUAUUUUUAUUACAUUUUUUCUUCCCUCUGUCUUCUUCAGGUAUUAAAUAAGUAAUAACAUGAGAACAUUCUUGUCUCAAGUUUCAGACAGCCUAAUUUACAUGUGAAUUUAUGUAGUUUGAUUAAGAAGUUUGUCCAUUAUUUCUGUAUAAAACUCCCUGAGGCCCUCUAACUCCAUUUAGAAUUUGUCCAUGUGAACUUUCUGAGUGAACUGACCCUGUUUACAGAUAAGCCUCAGUUUGCUCUUGUGAGUUCCCAGAGUUCCUAGUUUGUUUUCAACCUUGUGAAUUCUGAAUAACCUCUGCAAGCCACAGAACAGUUAUUAACUGAGAGGAUGAAAGAGGGAGAAUAACUGUGAAACAUUUUUUACACACUCUCUUAAUAAUAGAUACUAGUUUCUAAUUUAUUUUUAAUGGAAAUGUUAAAAGAAAAGCUUAUCUUUUCUUGUUUCUGGUUUAAUAUGGUCUAAUAUUUCUCCACAUGUUGAAUGCGCUAGUCACCAUUGUAAUGAUGCUUGGCAUCAAUCCUCAGAAUGUGUAAAUAUGUACAUGAAACCUAAGGAAGAAAGCAAGAAAGCGUUGAGGGAGAAUACGGGGAAAAGGAAAGGAAGAAAAGAGAAGUCACUCAUUAAUUCAAGGAGGUAUCACAGAAUCACUGAAUCAUAGAAUCAUCUAGGUUGAUCAAGACCCUUAAGAUCAUCAGGUCCAACUAUCACCUAUCAUUAUGAAGUCCACCACUAAACUAUAUGCUAUCUGCACAUCUCUUAAAUAACUAUGGGGCUGAUGAAUUCACAACUCUAGAGAGCCUGUUCCAACAUUUGAUCACCCCUUCCAUGAAGAAAUUCUUUCUGACCUCUAAUCAAAAUCUUCCCUUAUGAAACUUGAGGAUGUUUUCCUCACGCCCUGUCACUUGCCACUUGAGAAAAGAGACCAACACUCAUCUCCCUGUAACCUCCUUCCAGGUAGUUUCAGAAAGGAAUGAGGUCUCCACUCAGCUUCUUUUUUCUCCAGACUAAACGGCGCCAGUUCUUUUAGCUUGUCCCCAUAUGUCUUGUCUUCUAGUACCUUCACCAGCUUCACUGCCCUUCUGAAUGCAUUCCAACAACUCAAUAUCAUUCCUGUGAGGGGCACGUAACCAUAAAGAGCACUCAAGGUGCAGUCUCCCCAUUGCCAAGAAGAGUGGGAAAGCCAUUUCCCCAUUCCUGCUGUUCACACUACUUCUGAUGCAGGCUAGGAUGCCACUACCCUCUUAGCCACCUCAGCACACUGCUGGCUCAUGUUCAUCCAGCUGUUGACCAGCACCCUGAUGUUAUUUUCUGCUGGGCAGCUUUCCAGCCACUCUUCCCCGAGCCUAUAUCACUGCAUGGGGUUGUAUUAAAGUUCUUCUCUUUUACUUGGUUGGGCAGAGAACAUAUGUUCCAGCCUUUCUGACUGUCAAAUGACCCUUCAGAGAACCUUGAGCAAUACAGAUAAAAUAAAGACACCUUUAGUUCUUUGAUUUACUGAGCAAUAUCAAGGUAAAACUACUGAAGAAUCAUACAGCUACCUUUUCCUGUGUAUCGCCAUUAGAAAUGCACAGAUCAGAAACUACCUGUCCACAAUAGAAGAUUCCUUAGUUUUACAGGGUAGUGGGAAAAAAUGUCCCUUCCUGUUAGCAGGAUCUUUUGGGUAGAUUUGAAUUCCUGUGUUUAGAGAUGGCACUUUUUUGUUUCACUGUAUUCCCUUUCAACAUAUUUAAAUAAAAGUAAGUUUAUU
ensembl:lncRNA